GAUGAACGCUGGCGGCGUGCUUAACACAUGCAAGUCGAACGGGGCACCCCUGAAGGAGUUUUCGGACAACUGAUGGGACUGCUUAGUGGCGGACGGGUGAGUAACGCGUGAGUAACCUGCCUUGGAGUGGGGAAUAACAGCUGGAAACAGCUGCUAAUACCGCAUAAUGCAGUUGGGUCGCAUGGCUCUGACUGCCAAAGAUUUAUCGCUCUGAGAUGGACUCGCGUCUGAUUAGCUAGUUGGCGGGGUAACGGCCCGCCAAGGCGACGAUCAGUAGCCGGACUGAGAGGUUGGCCGGCCACAUUGGGACUGAGACACGGCCCAG
rnacentral:rRNA from 1 species